CACGAGAUGGCGUUGAUUGUCGAAAUUAUUUUGAUUCUUAUCUAUCUCAUGGACAAAAUAUACACAUUUGAAUAUUCCAAGGAUGAAAUAAAAAAGUUUAAUGUUUAUCUUUAUCUUUCAUUAAUUAAGAAAUUGUUUAAUUGAGAAUGUGCGAUAGUGCAAAAGAAAAUGAUAAAUAAAAGCUAUUUUCCCAAAGACAUAUAUGUUCAAGAAAUUAAUUAUCUACUAUACAUAUGAUUUAAAACCUGUUGAUAUAUUUAAUUGGAAUGCAAUAAUUUAUUACUAUUUGAUUACUAGAACUGUAACACAUGUAUAAAAAAUAAAAAAAUUAUCCUGAUUGCUUAAUCUCUGCAAUGUAUUGUUGAAGAAAUGACACAAAAAAGAUAUGAAAUUCUUUCUAUAAUUUGGCUGGAAAAUUUUUAAAAAUCAUCCAGUAAUUUCCAGUAAUGACCAAUUUUAUAUCAAAAGAAUAUAAUUUGAGAACAAAUGAUACGUGAGAUUUCUUUUGAAAUCUUGAAAUUUUCAAAUAUCUUGAGAAUAUUACAAUUUUUGCAAUCAAGCAGAUUCUAAUACAUAAAGAGCUCUAUAAGAUUUUUAAGAUAUUUAAUAUAUUUAAAAAUUUUUACAUUAAAAUCGAUAAUGAUGAGAAACAUGCUUGGAAUAACAACUUUUAGAUACGAUCUUAAAAUUGCCGAAAUUUUGACGAGAAAAUGAAUAAUGAAGGAAUUUUCAAUAUGGCAUCUUUGAAUUUGGCGGGAAAAUGUUUCUGUCUUUCUCGUAUUAUGUUCCUUGUCUGUGACGUCACGUGGAUAAGUAUACCUUCUUGCAUAUUCUGCUAUGCUAGUAAAAAAUCGAAGCUUCCGUGAUCCAAACGCGAGAUAGCGUUAAUUAUCGAAAAAUUUAUUUGAAAACAUCAAAAGAAUAUUUUAAUAAUAACAAUCAUUUUUAGAUGUUAUUUUUACUGAAUUAUGAUAUAAUGAAUAUAAAGACUAACAAAAAAAUUGAUAAUGAUGAGAAACAUGCUUGGACUUUUGGCUGCGAUCUUAAAAAUGGCGAAAUUUUGCCGAGAAAAUGAAUAAUGAAGAAAUUUUCAAUAUGGCAUCUUUGAAUUGGCGGGAAAAUAUUUCUAUCCUUCUCGUAUUAUGUUGCGUUCCUUGUCUGUGACGUCACGUGGAUGAGUAUACCUCCUUGCAUAUUCUGCUAUGCUAGUAAAAAAUUGGAGCUUCCGUGAUCCAAACGCGAGAUGGCGUUGAUUAUCGAAAAAUUUAUUUAUUUAAAAACGUGAAAAGACUAUUUUAAUAAUAACAAUCAUUUUUAGACAUUAUUUUUACUGAAUUAUGAUAUAAUGAAUAUAAAGGCUAACAAAAAAAUUGAUAAUGAUGAGAAACAUGCUUGGACUUUUGGUUGGAAUCUUAAAAAUGGCGAAAUUUUGCCAAGAAAAUGAAUAAUGAAGGAAUUUUCAAUAUGGCAUCUUUGAAUUGGCGGGAAAAUAUUUCUAUCCUUCUCGUAUUAUGUUGCGUUCCUUGUCUGUGACGUCACGUGGAUGAGUAUACCUCCUUGCAUAUUCUGCUAUGCUAGUAAAAAAUUGGAGCUUCCGUGAUCCAAACGCGAGAUGGCGUUGAUUAUCGAAAAAUUUAUUUAUUUAAAAACGUGAAAAGACUAUUUUAAUAAUAACAAUCAUUUUUAGACAUUAUUUUUACUGAAUUAUGAUAUAAUGAAUAUAAAGGCUAACAAAAAAAUUGAUAAUGAUGAGAAACAUGCUUGGACUUUUGGUUGGAAUCUUAAAAAUGGCGAAAUUUUGCCAAGAAAAUGAAUAAUGAAGGAAUUUUCAAUAUGGCAUCUUUGAAUUGGCGGGAAAAUGUUUCUAUCCUUCUCGCACUAUAUUGCGUUCCUUGUUUGUGACGUCACGCGGAUGAAUAUACCUCCUUGCACAUUCUGCUACGCUAGUAACAAGUCGGAGCUUCUGUGAUCCAAACGCGAGAUGGCGUUGAUCGUCGAAAUUUGUUCAUUCCUUGUAUCUUAUUGAUAUAAUAUUCAGGAUUAAAGAAUUUUAAUAAGAAAUUUAAUACAGUGAAUAAAGUAUAAUUUAAAUGUUAUUUGUACAAGGAUAACUAAAAAAUAUAUUAAAUAAAAUAACAAAGAAAAAAUAUUUUUGAAGAAAUAGAUUUAUUUCAAGAAUAUAUAUAUGUUAUACAUGUAUUGAGGAUAAUUGAAAGUAUUAUGUUAUACAUAUUGUUAUGUAUAAUGUAUACAUAAGAUAUUAAAUAUGAUGAUUUGAUCGUGUUUAACUGUUAAAAUUAUCAACAAAAUAUAAAUAAAAAUCGAAGAACUGCUUUUUGUAUUUUAUGUAAUUUUAAUUUUGAAGUUCUUCGCGUUUACGUAUGUAUCUAAUCUAAUUGUUAAAUGAAUUUGAAAAUUUUAAAGAGAAGUAACUACAUUAUUUUACUCUAUAUCUUAUUCUAAUUAUAAACAUUUGUAAGUAUUAACAAACAUUUGUAUUUAUAUUAUAUUUAACAUAAUAAGUAAUGAUAAAACAAUGAGAAAAUAAUUUUGCGCUUUUUACGCUCCUGUUAAAUUUACGAUUUUUAAUCAUAUUUUAGCGCCGAUAAAUGAAAACGUUCGAUUGAAAAAAUUAUAUAGAUAUCAUACUAUAAAGACAAGAAAAUAAAGGUAUAAAAAUGGUAAGAAAAAUAAUUGUAUUUCAUUUCGGAAUCGUAACGAAUAAAGUGCUUUAACAGUAUUUAUAAAAUGUAUUUAGCUGAUGAUUUAAAUAUCGAAAGAUAAAAUAAAAAGGCUUCUUCAGUGCGAUAAAAAAAUAUGCAAAUAUUACGUA